rnacentral:rRNA from 1 species
CAGUCGAGCGGACAGAAGGGAGCUUGCUCCCGGAUGUUAGCGGCGGACGGGUGAGUAACACGUGGGUAACCUGCCUGUAAGACUGGGAUAACUCCGGGAAACCGGAGCUAAUACCGGAUAGUUCCUUGAACCGCAUGGUUCAAGGAUGAAAGACGGUUUCGGCUGUCACUUACAGAUGGACCCGCGGCGCAUUAGCUAGUUGGUGAGGUAACGGCUCACCAAGGCGACGAUGCGUAGCCGACCUGAGAGGGUGAUCGGCCACACUGGGACUGAGACACGGCCCAGACUCCUACGGGAGGCAGCAGUAGGGAAUCUUCCGCAAUGGACGAAAGUCUGACGGAGCAACGCCGCGUGAGUGAUGAAGGUUUUCGGAUCGUAAAGCUCUGUUGUUAGGGAAGAACAAGUGCAAGAGUAACUGCUUGCACCUUGACGGUACCUAACCAGAAAGCCACGGCUAACUACGUGCCAGCAGCCGCGGUAAUACGUAGGUGGCAAGCGUUGUCCGGAAUUAUUGGGCGUAAAGGGCUCGCAGGCGGUUUCUUAAGUCUGAUGUGAAAGCCCCCGGCUCAACCGGGGAGGGUCAUUGGAAACUGGGAAACUUGAGUGCAGAAGAGGAGAGUGGAAUUCCACGUGUAGCGGUGAAAUGCGUAGAGAUGUGGAGGAACACCAGUGGCGAAGGCGACUCUCUGGUCUGUAACUGACGCUGAGGAGCGAAAGCGUGGGGAGCGAACAGGAUUAGAUACCCUGGUAGUCCACGCCGUAAACGAUGAGUGC